rnacentral:lncRNA from 15 species
UGAUUUUAAUUGAUAAAUUGGUGCAGUGAAGUGUUUGCUGGAGCUGAAAUUCACCUUUAAAAGCUCAUAUUUUCAUAUUUGUAGUGUGGACAUUCUGUUUUUUGAUCCAGGACAUGUAAUACCUCACAACACAAGAGCAACUGUAGUCAAUAUUGUAGAAACACUGAGGUCAUGUGUCCAGGUUCCCCUUCACACACAUAUUUAAAUUAUUCAGGUAACUUCCUUUAUAUUUCUGUAAGCUAUUGUUUGCCAACAUGAAGGUCUUAAUGCUGUUGGAAAGCGUUAUUCAUACAACCAGGAACAUUUUUUUUUCUACUUACACAACAUUUAAAUAUAGCUAUUAAACCCACUAUUUCGUUGUUGUAGAAUAUAACUCCUGCCAGGUCUCUAACCUCUCUGUGUCAUCAGCAUUUAUUAUCAAUCCAAAUAAAUUACUUUACAAAAUAAAAGACAUUUAUUAAGGAACACAAAAGAUAAUGUUGACUUUAAUGAUGGAAUAAUCAAUAAAAAUUUAAUUGGCAACCUUAUAUUUAGUAUCUUUUAGUAUGAUAAUAAUGAAUAUAAUUCACUGUAAUGCAUUUUAUUUAGGAUCCUGCUCUAUAGGAUGUUGGACAUUAAAGUGUCAGUGAAUGUAUGCUGCAGCUUAGCAAAGCACCUCAGCCAAAAUGUCCAACAGCUAAUCCUCACCCUCGCUGUGACCCUGAAAUAGGUCCCAUCUAUAAUUAUGGUUUUACCGCCGCCCCAGAGACUCUGGGUGGGGAUGCUGGUGGUAAUAGUGGCAGUGGCGGAGCUCCCCGGAUCCCUGCAGAAGUGCAUCUUUGAUGAGGUUCAGGCUCAGGCCAGGGUGGUCCGAGCUGCACCCAUCCACACACACGUCCCACCCAACGAGCCCAGACUCAGAUGGAGGGCAUCACCUCUGCCUAGCCUGUCAGUGAGGCGGAGGAGAAGCCUGGGAAAGAGAGCCACGCCCACUUCUUCCUCUCCACAGCCAAUCAGGAUCCAGAGCUGGAUUCAAAGGGAGAGCAACAACCUAUGGGAGGAGGAGAAACAGAGGCUGGAGGCAGCGAUGGAGGAGGCUGUGAGGGUGUUGUCUUCUUUACUGUCAGUGAACAGAGUACCGGGUCCGUUGCUGCUCAGCAGAGACAUCAACAAAUACUGCAAGUUUCUCUGGAGGAAUUCAAGUAUCGCCAACUACAACCGGUGUGUAUACAGUGUGUAUACAGUGUGUGUUUGUGUGUGUGUGUGUGUGUGUGUGUGUGUGUGUGUGUGUGUGUGUGUGUGUGUGUGUGUGUGCAGCUCCAAUCAUUCAAACACACUCCUUUGGCAAGAUGUGGAUCUACUUUUUCUUAAAAUUAUUAUUUAAAACAGAU